GGGUUAUUAGUUUAAUAAAACGUUUAAUUUCGACUUAAAAUUUUGUGGUUAAAAUCCAUAAUGACCUU
rnacentral:tRNA from 1 species